CCACCACCAUGAAGUAUCCACUUGCAAAAGUGAGGUUUGCAGAGCAAAAGGCUAAAUCUUGCGUGGGGAUGAAAGGUUCCCCGGUCUGUGUAUGGAAGUAUGAAAAUGCUCCCUCCAGACAAAUGUCGCCACUACAUCAGUCUGACUCGAGACCCUGUGGACUGUAGCCUACCAAGCUCCUCUGUCCAUGGGAUGUCCCAGGCAAGAAUACUGGAGUGGGUUGCCAUUUCUUCUUCAGGGGAUCUUCCUGACCCAGGGAUCAAACUCACGUCUCCUGCCUUGGCAGAUUCCAAAACACAGGUGGAAAAGUUAACUACACGAUGGCCAGGCUAUACCAAGAACAUGAGCUGUCACAAUUCUGAGAACUGGCCACAAAGAAAUGGGAACAAAU